rnacentral:rRNA from 1 species
GAGUAACACGUAAACAACCUGCCUUCAGGAUGGGGACAACAGACGGAAACGACUGCUAAUACCGAAUACGCUUGGGAGACCGCAUGAUCUUCCAAGGAAAGGGUGGCCUCUACCUGUAAGCUAUCGCCUGAAGAGGGGUUUGCGUCUGAUUAGGCAGUUGGUGAGGUAACGGCCCACCAAACCCUACGAUCAGUAGCCGGUCUGAGAGGAUGAACGGCCACACUGGAACUGAAACACGGUCCAGACUCCUACGGGAGGCAGCAGUGGGGAAUCUUCCGCAAUGGGCGAAAGCCUGACGGAGCAACGCCGCGUGAGUGAUGACGGCCUUCGGG